UGCAGAAUCCCGUGAACCAUCGAGUCUUUGAACGCAAGUUGCGCCCCAAGCCUUUUGGCCGAGGGCACGUCUGCCUGGGUGUCACAAAUCGUCGUCCCCCUCUUCAUCCAUUGCGGAGAUGGGACGGAAACUGGUCUCCCGUGUGUUACCGCACGCGGUUGGCCAAAAUUCGAGCCAAGGAUGCUGGUAGCGUCCCGACAUGCGGUGGUGAAAUCAAAACCUUCAUACCGUCGAUCGCUCCUGUCCGAAAGCUCUAGAUGACCCAAAGUCUUCAAAGCGACCCCAGGUCAGGCGGGAUCACCCGCUGAGUUUAAGCAUAUCAAUAAGCGGAGGAAAAGAAACUAACAAGGAUUCCCUUAGUAACGGCGAGCGAACCGGGAAGAGCCCAGCUUGAAAAUCGGACGUCUUCGAUGUUCGA
rnacentral:rRNA from 1 species